rnacentral:rRNA from 1 species
AGGGCACCACCAGGAGUGGAGCCUGCGGCUUAAUUUGACUCACCACGGGAAAACUCACCCGGCCCGGACACUGGAAGGAUUGACAGAUUGAGAGCUCUUUCUUGAUUCAGUGGGUGGUGGUGCAUGGCCGUUCUUAGUUGGUGGAGCGAUUUGUCUGGUUAAUUCCGAUAACGAACGAGACUCUAGCCUACUAAAUAGAUCGUUGGCUUACAAACGCCAAUGAGACUUCUUAGAGGGACAGGCGGCGAUUCAGCCGCACGAAACAGAGCAAUAACAGGUCUGUGAUGCCCUUAGAUGUCCGGGGCCGCACGCGCGCUACACUGAAGUGAUCAGCGUGCAUUCUCAGCCUACUCUGCCAAGAGUGGAAAACCCAUGGAACUUUCUUCUGGUUGGGAAUAGGAAAUGGUAUUAUUUUCCUUGGAAGAGGAAAUUCCAAGUAAGCCGAGUUAAAAACCCCCCUUGGUUAAGGUCCUGGCCCUUGGUAUCACCCCCCCGUGCUUCCUACGGAUGGAUGGUUUA